rnacentral:rRNA from 1 species
UGGUGGAGUGAUUUGUCUGGUUAAUUCCGUUAACGAACGAGACCUCGACCUACUAAAUAGUUGACUAAACUCUUCGGGGUUUGGAUUAGCUUCUUAGAGGGACUUUUGGUGAGUAGCCAAAGGAAGUUCGAGGCAAUAACA